rnacentral:rRNA from 1 species
GUUAGCGUACUCGUGCUUGUCGUGCGGCCGCGGGAAGUACCUUGCUACUUUGCCGGCGAGCGGCGGACGGGUGAGUAAUGUCUGGGAAACUGCCCGAUGGAGGGGGAUAACUACUGGAAACGGUGGCUAAUACCGCAUAACGUCUUCGGACCAAAGUGGGGGACCUUCGGGCCUCACACCAUCGGAUGUGCCCAGAUGGGAUUAGCUAGUAGGUGGGGUAACGGCUCACCUAGGCGACGAUCCCUAGCUGGUCUGAGAGGAUGACCAGCCACACUGGAACUGAGACACGGUCCAGACUCCUACGGGAGGCAGCAGUGGGGAAUAUUGCACAAUGGGCGCAAGCCUGAUGCAGCCAUGCCGCGUGUGUGAAGAAGGCCUUCGGGUUGUAAAGCACUUUCAGCGAGGAGGAAGGCAGUCGUGUUAAUAGCACGGUUGAUUGACGUUACUCGCAGAAGAAGCACCGGCUAACUCCGUGCCAGCAGCCGCGGUAAUACGGAGGGUGCAAGCGUUAAUCGGAAUUACUGGGCGUAAAGCGCACGCAGGCGGUUUGUUAAGUCAGAUGUGAAAUCCCCGCGCUUAACGUGGGAACUGCAUUUGAAACUGGCAAG